UACAGAGGGUGCAAGCGUUGUUCGGAAUUACUGGGCGUAAAGCGCGUGUAGGCGGUUUGGUAAGUUCUGUGUGAAAGCCCUGGGCUCAACCCAGGAAGUGCGCAGAAUACUGCUUGACUGGAGUGACGGAGAGGAAGAUGGAAUUCCCGGUGUAGCGGUGAAAUGUGUAGAGAUCGGGAGGAACACCGGUGGCGAAGGCGGUCUUCUGGACGGUGACUGACGCUGAGGCGCGAAAGCGUGGGGAGCAAACAGG
rnacentral:rRNA from 1 species